CAGCAGCCGCGGGAAUACGUAGGUGGCAAGCGUUGUCCGGAAUUAUUGGGCGUAAAGGGCUCGCAGGCGGUUUCUUAAGUCUGAUGUGAAAGCCCCCGGCUCAACCGGGGAGGGUCAUUGGAAACUAGGAAACUUGAGUGCAGAAGAGGAGAGUGGAAUUCCACGUGUAGCGGUGAAAUGCGUAGAUCUCGAGAGGAACACCAAUGGCGAGGGCAGCUUCUUGGUCCAUUCCUGACGUUCAUACACGAAAGCGUGGGGAGCAAACAGGAUUAGAUACCCGCGUAGUCCCUGUCUCUUAUAC
rnacentral:rRNA from 1 species